GUAAGGAAUAUUGGUCAAUGGGCGGAAGCCUGAACCAGCCAUGCCGCGUGCAGGAAGACGGCCCUAUGGGUUGUAAACUGCUUUUGCAGGGGAAUAAACCUCAUUACGUGUAAUGAGCUGAAUGUACUCUGAGAAUAAGGAUCGGCUAACUCCGUGCCAGCAGCCGCGGUAAUACGGAGGAUCCAAGCGUUAUCCGGAUUUAUUGGGUUUAAAGGGUGCGUAGGUGGCUUUUUAAGUCAGGGGUGAAAGACGGUAGCUUAACUAUCGCAGUGCCUUUGAUACUGAAGAGCUUGAAUGAACUAGAGGUAGGCGGAAUGUGACAAGUAGCGGUGAAAUGCAUAGAUAUGUCACAGAACACCAAUUGCGAAGGCAGCUUACUAUGGUUUUAUUGACACUGAGGCACGAAAGCGUGGGGAUCAAACAGG
rnacentral:rRNA from 1 species